rnacentral:misc_RNA from 1 species
ACAGGAGGUGGAUGAGAUUUAUGCACAUUCACAAGAGGCCAUACACCAGAUGAUGAUGGUGCAAUACUGGAAACCAUUCUUGAUGGAAGAGUCAGAGGCUUGAGAAGUUGGACAUCAGUAACUGGAAGUUUGACACCGAGGGGAGCCAAACUCUCACUCCCUGAAGAGGGUAUUCCACUUCUGGAAAAUGGUAUCUGGAAUUCCCCACUUCUUCCUUUAGCAUUCAAGAGAUCAGCUGUCUGAGAGAAGUGCUGUGGCAACUUCCAAGCUUCUCGAGGAUAUCGAGAACCCAUAAUCUGACUUCUCUCAGUUUGGAAUCCAGUUAUUUUAACAGCAGAUCCACGACUAGAACCCAGAAUGGGGACUGCAUCUUCAGCAAUAUUAGAGGAAUC